UUACUUUCAACGAGUGAUUUGAAUAUUUUUUUGUCCUUGAAGACUGAAAUUCGACGGAUUUCGACACGCAUUCUACGAUCGAAAAGUUCAAUUUUUCUGAACUUCUCAGAGAGAGGUAUUUGCGGCCAAAAAAGUACUU